UAAAAACAUUGGCCUGUCCAGCUCAUUUGUCUACCUGCUGGUCAACUCCCGAGUCCAUGUGGAGGAGAGUCCAUGACUGAUGCCCUAUAUUUGGAAAGAUACCUGGGGGGUCAUUGAGAUGACCAGAAUUCCCAUCCCAAGAUCUGAAGCAACAUGACCUCACAAGGCUUGCAACUCAACAGGUUUUCAUAACUGAGAGGAAGCUGAGCCAUCCUGAGGCUCCCCCUCCCGUGUAGUGGCUAAGGAAACCGAGUUUGCUCACAGAGUCCCAGACUUGGUGCUAAAGGACAUCGCCUGCAAUGAAGCCCUCCU